GAAAAAACAAUUUUGUUUUUCCUAAAGGAAAAAAUGAGAAAAAUGGUAAUGAUUGGAUUAAGAGGAGAGAAAGAAAAUUUCCAAGAUGUGUAUAGAGUUAUCUAUGAAUGGUGAGCUGGCAGAGGCUUUAAAUGUUUUGUUUUUUUAAACACGAUUUUAUAAUUUAAAAUUUUCUAGGGACUGGCUCCGUGGCCAAGUGGUUAAAUUCACAUGCUCUGCUUUGGUGGCCCGGGUUUCGCUGGUUCGGAUCCUGGGCGCAGACCUGGCACUGCUCAGCUCAUCAGGCCACACUGAGGUGGCGUCCCACAUAGCACAACUAGAAGGACCUACAGCUAGGAUAUACAACUUAUGUAAUGGGGGGCUUUGGGGAGAAGAAGAAAAAAAAGGAAGAUUGGCAACAGAUGUUAGCUCAGGGCCAAUCUUCCAAAAAAAAAAAAAAAAACUGACCAGCGUAAAAUGUCAAAAGAAAUUUCUAUAAGCAUAAACCAUUUUUAUAAUCAGAAAACACAAAUUAAUAUUUUUAAUUUACUUUAAUUAAUACUUUUAAACAGUAGACCCAGCAUUGGAGGUUUGUGGGGUUCCAAGAUGGAAGCUCCAGGCUGUCUGCUUGGCCAGCCCCCAGCCCUCUUACGGAUGUUGACCUUUUACCAGCGGGUAUUGAUUCCUAUGACUAGAGUUUGCCUGUGAACUCAGCAGCUGCUCUUGGAGAAGGAACAUGUCCAGGCUUGGUAAGCAUUCAUGCCUUCCAGUGGCAGAGACUGUAAGAUUCUUCGUUGGGAGCAAUCUUGGGGAAGACAUUCUCACCUAGAAGGAACAUCGGCUGGUUUGGUUGAAGCGGGUAGCAGAGGAACACUGGGUGCUCCCUCUUCAGCAGCCAUCCAUCUCCCCUGCUGGGUGGCGCCACAUUUGGUUUGGUGGGCUGACCCCAUCCUUGCUCCAGGGUGGACCUUAAGUGACUAAUACCAGUCUGGAGAAUCCUGCCUGUUGGUCCAGGGGAAGACACCUGGCCUGAAUUUUCCCAAUUGAACUGAAACUCAGAACUCAUUUUUAGUGUUUGGGGAAAGAAAAAGAUUUCACAUCUUCUAUGUGUUGUGGCAGGUAUGUUGAUAUGAGACCUAGAAUAAUUUCAGCCAUUUGCUACAUGAAGGAAGCCAGCCUAAGGGCCAAGACAACAUGUGGAAGAGAAGAGAACCAAGGAUUGCAGGAAAAUGGGACCAGAGCCCUGAGCAAUCCCAGUUUGAAACCCUUGUGCCUCUGGACUUCCCCUUGGGAGGCCUAAUGCACUCUUUUUAAUUUCUACUCCAUUUCGAGUUCAAAUUUCUGUUACUUCCAACCCAAAGCAUCCUGAUUGGUGCAUGAUAUGCCCCACCUACCUUUCCAGAAGAGCUGAAACUGUCAACCUUCGACUUUAGUGUCCUCAUUAUGAGGGGCUCUGAGAAUCAGAUCACUUUCCUCUCUGACUAGUUUGAGGUUUUACAAUUCCCCAAGGGGCUCAAAUGGAGCCAGAGCUCCUGCUGCGGUCAGGCUGAAGGAUGCACACCUUUGAGAAUUUUCCAAGGCAGCAGGAAAAACAACUCAGAUCACAGUUUCAAAUAGAUUUGGGACAGGGCAGGGCAGAGCAAGACUGUUGACAGAAGCAUCUGGAAACCUGUAGGACUGAAAUGUCCCCCUCUGCUUCCUGAGCCUCAUAGGGAGAGUGGCUGUCUGGCCAGGGUCAAGUUUCUCUCUGUUUCUGUGUAUAUGGAAAGACCGAGGCCACGGUCGAUUAUGACACGUAGUUAAAUGUUUAGAAAUUAUAUAGAAUGGACAUCAGAGUUAAAUUUAGGAAAGUUCCAAAGUUACACUUUUCUUCUGAGUCUCUGGCCCAUCUUUUCUCCUUUUAUUUUUCAACCAAGUAGCAAAUGUUCACUGCUCUUCAAAAACUUCUUUUAGGAGAGGAUGGACCAUCAGCUACAUACUC
rnacentral:lncRNA from 1 species